GGGAUUGUAGUUCAAUAGGCUAGAGCACCGCCCUGUCAAGGCGGACGUUGCGGGUUCGAGCCCCGUCAGUCCCGA
rnacentral:tRNA from 1 species